AGAGAGGGAGAGACAUGUUGGAGUUAAACAGGGUAUAAAACAGGGAGGCCUCUCCAACCGUGUUACUGGAGAGCUACCCUCCUGUAGGUUUACACCAGGGCUCUCCAACCGUGUUACUGGAGAGCUACCCUCCUGUAGGUUUACACCAGGGCUCUCCAACUGUGUUACUGGAGAGCUACCCUCCUGUAGGUUUACACCAGGGCUCUCCAACCGUGUUACUGGAGAGCUACCCUCCUGUAGGUUUACACCAGGGCUCUCCAACCGUGUUACUGGAGAGCUACCCUCCUGUAGGUUUACACCAGGGCUCUCCAACCGUGUUACUGGAGAGCUACCCUCCUGUAGGUUUACACCAGGGCUCUCCAACCGUGUUACUGGAGAGCUACCCUCCUGUAGGUUUACACCAGGGCUCUCCAACCGUGUUACUGGAGAGCUACCCUCCUGUAGGUUUACACCAGGGCUCUCCAACCGUGUUACUGGAGAGCUACCCUCCUGUAGGUUUACACCAGGGCUCUCCAACCGUGUUACUGGAGAGCUACCCUCCUGUAGGUUUACACCAGGGCUCUCCAACCGUGUUACUGGAGAGCUACCCUCCCGCAGGUUUUUGCUCCAACCGCAGUUGUAACUAACCUGAUUCACCUUCUGAAUCUGCUAAUUAUUAGAAUCCGGUGCGCUAGACUGGUUGAGUGUAAACCUAUAGGACCGUAGCUCUCCAGGAACAGGGUUGGAGAGCCCUGGUGUAAACCUAUAGGACCGUAGCUCUCCAGGAACAGGGUUGGAGAGCCCUGGUGUAAACCUAUAGGACCGUAGCUCUCCAGGAACAGGGUUGGAGAGCCCUGGUGUAAACCUAUAGGACCGUAGCUCUCCAGGAACAGGGUUGGAGAGCCCUGGUGUAAACCUAUAGGACCGUAGCUCUCCAGGAUCAGGGUUGGAGAGCCCUGGUGUAAACCUAUAGGACCGUAGCUCUCCAGGAACAGGGUUGGAGAGCCCUGGUGUAAACCUAUAGGACCGUAGCUCUCCAGGAACAGGGUUGGAGAGCCCUGGUGUAAACCUAUAGGACCGUAGCUCUCCAGGAACAGGGUUGGAGAGCCCUGGUGUAAACCUAUAGGGCCGUAGUUCUCCAGGAACAGGGUUGGAGAGCCCUGGUGUAAACCUAUAGGACCGUAGCUCUCCAGGAACAGGGUUGGAGAGCCCUGGUGUAAACCUAUAGGACCGUAAGCCCUCCAGGAACAGGGUUGGAGAGCC